rnacentral:rRNA from 1 species
UACAGAGGGGGCAAGCGUUGUUCGGAAUUACUGGGCGUAAAGGGCGCGUAGGCGGCCUGCUAAGUCGAACGUGAAAUCCCCGGGCUCAACCCGGGAACUGCGUCCGAUACUGGCAGGCUUGAAUUCGGGAGAGGGAUGUGGAAUUCCAGGUGUAGCGGUGAAAUGCGUAGAUAUCUGGAGGAACACCGGUGGUGUAGACGGCUUUCUGGACCGUAACUGACGCUGAGACACGAAAGCGUGGGUAGCAAACAGG